rnacentral:ncRNA from 15 species
UUCAAGAAAGGCUAUGACGUUAGCCUUUAAGCGCCCUCCGGGCUGAUAACGUCUGAUCUUUA